GGGGCUAUAGCUCAGCUGGGAGAGCGCCUCCUUGCACGCAGGAGGUCAGCGGUAUCGAAUCCCGCUUAGCUCCACCA
rnacentral:tRNA from 1 species